rnacentral:rRNA from 1 species
CAGCAGCCGCGGUAAUACGAAGGGGGCUAGCGUUGCUCGGAAUCACUGGGCGUAAAGGGUGCGUAGGCGGGUCUUUAAGUCAGGGGUGAAAUCCUGGAGCUCAACUCCAGAACUGCCUUUGAUACUGAAGAUCUUGAGUUCGGGAGAGGUGAGUGGAACUGCGAGUGUAGAGGUGAAAUUCGUAGAUAUUCGCAAGAACACCAGUGGCGAAGGCGGCUCACUGGCCCGAUACUGACGCUGAGGCACGAAAGCGUGGGGAGCAAACAGGAUUAGAUACCCCUGUAGUCCCUGUCUCUUAUAC